AGUGAACGCUGGCGGUAGGCCUAACACAUGCAAGUCGAACGGCAGCACAGUAAGAGCUUGCUCUUACGGGUGGCGAGUGGCGGACGGGUGAGGAAUACAUCGGAAUCUACUUUUUCGUGGGGGAUAACGUAGGGAAACUUACGCUAAUACCGCAUACGACCUACGGGUGAAAGCAGGGGAUCUUCGGACCUUGCGCGAUUGAAUGAGCCGAUGUCGGAUUAGCUAGUUGGCGGGGUAAAGGCCAACCAAGGCGACGAUGCGUAGCUGGUCUGAGAGGAUGGUCCGGCAGAUUGGAAGUGAGAAACGGCACAGACACCUACGGGAGGAAGCAGUGGGGAAUAUUGGACAAUGGGCGCAAGCCUGAUCCAGCCAUACCGCGUGGGUGAAGAAGGCCUUAGGGUUGUAAAGCCCUUUUGUUGGGAAAGAAAAGCAGCAGGUUAAUACCCCGCUGUUCUGACGGUACCCAAAGAAUAAGCACCGGCUAACUUCGUG
rnacentral:rRNA from 1 species